rnacentral:lncRNA from 1 species
CCCCAGGCCACCCAGAGGCUCCCAGGCUUCGGUUUGGAAGAGAAGCGUCCGAAGACAGAGGUACCCAGAGGCAGCCUGUGUGGUGUAGACACCUUACAGCACAUCCAGGGAAGAUGCGUGUGGAUACCCACCCCAGCUCCCCGCCGCAAGCCGGUGUCCCACAGGAAGAUGCCGCAGCCUCACUGGGACAGGAAGGCUGGAACCCCCCCCACCCCAUAGCUCACACUGUGGUUGUGCAGAGAGUUGCAAAGGCAUCCUGCUUCACACACCCCCGAAUCGCACACACCCCGCCCCACCCAGUGUAACCCUCACACGCAGGCACGCACACUGGUGUGGCACUAUGACGAUCCUUCCUGUGAUGGAGGUUCCUAAUGGCUGGUGGCUGGCAUGAAGUCAUUUAGUCCUCACAGCAACCCUAGAAGUGAACCAGCUGUGAAGAUCUCCAGUUCCCAGAGGGUAACAUCGAGGGGUCCAGAGAUCAAGUACCUUGGCCAGGGUCACCAUAAACUGGAAAUGGCCAAGCCAGGGUUUGAAUCCAGAUGGUCAAACUUGAAGGCAGCUGUACUAAGCAUGUUCCCAUCUGCAUAUGCACAUGCGUUCACGCACAGUCGCUCCACACACACGUGCUCGCUCAGGCCUCCUUUCUGAGGUGCUGCCACUGCCCGGCAGCAGCCCAGACGCAGCAGCGAUGGCCCGGUCCAUCAGACAGCCUGUCUUUCCAGAGAUGAGUCAGCUGGGCCAGGACCUAGGACAGAGCUAGGGAUGGUGGGUGCACCCCCACCCACCUGGGCACCGUUGCUAGAUCCAGGGCUUAGCAGGUCCUUCUGAUGUACAAAACGUCCUCGUUCAGAAGAAAACGGCCCAGUUUAAGACCUGCCUGGGCAACAUAGUGAGACCCUGUCUACAAAAAAUAAAAAAUUAGCUGGGUGUGGUGGUGUGUGCCUAUGGUCCCAGCUAUUCAGGAGGCUGAGGUAGGAGGAUCACUUGAGCCCAGGAAGUGGAGGUUGCAGUGAGCUAUGAUCGCACCACUGCACUCCAGCAUGGGCAACAGAGCAAGACUGUCUCAAAAACAAAAAAAGAGCUAAACUGCCAGUAAGAUUCUCAUUUUUAUGGAAACAAAUCAACCACCAUCUCAUGACCCACCCAGCUACCCUUUGGGGAAGAGGCUGGUCAGUAAGAGCCGUAGGGGCCUGGGGCUGUGGGGCCUCAGGGCUUUCCUUAGGUGGUUGGAAGCACACCCCCUCCCCUCCACCCUGCCACUGCCCUGAGCCUGUGUCCCUGGACGCCCUGACUUGAUGUGUCAGUUUCAUCCAACAGAGUGUGAGCUUGAGAGAGCAGGACAGACUGACUCACCUCCAGGCCUCAGUGCCCCACUCCAGCCCCACAUGACCACACCCACUUCCAGGAUAAGUGAGGACUCAUCUGGUGGCUUUGAUACCUUUGCCCCCCUGCAGGUGGUUCCUGCGCCCUCUCUCUGCUGAGGAUGGCCUGGCUGGAAGUGAAUGACCCAGUUGCCUGAGUGUGUUUGGGGGAAGCAGGGGAGGGAUAGAGCAGCUGGGAUUAACCGCGAAGGAGUGGGGAGAGAAUUCCCCCCGACCCCCGGACCCAUCCUAAGGAAAUGGUAACCAGAGAAGAAUGGUGACAAUCUCUUCCUGUCCCCAGAACUUCACAGCAAGAACAACAAAUGCCCAUAAAACCCCGAAGCCAUAGAUUAAAUGAUGUGUCCAAUUUCUAUCUCAGGCAAAGAGCCAGUUCCCCCUAUAUAAAGAGCUCUUACAAAUCAAUAAGAAAAAUAGCCAAGAGGCCAAAAAAAAAAAAAAAUAGACAGAGGUAAUGAACAGAAAAGGAAAUCAAAAGGAUGUUUAAACAAAUGAGAAAGUGCCUAUGCUCACUCCUAGUGACAAAAGUGCAUGCUGAAACUGUACUGAUGUGAUUUUUCACUCAUCAGAUGGGCACAGAUUAAACAGUCUAAGGACACACCCUGUUGCAAUAGUGUGGGGAAGCAGACACCCUUGGAACCUCUGAAACAAUGUCAAAAUUCCAAAUGUACACACCCUUUGGCCCAGCAUUUGCUUCUAGGAAUCUGUCCUCCAGAUACUCCUCCCAAAUGUGAAAAAUGAUAUAUUGCUUUGUACAAGGUUAUUCGCCGAAGCACUCUUUGUAACAGCAGCAGAUUGGAAGGAUCCUAAGUGCCCGCUGACAGUGCAGUGCUUAAAUCAUCAUGGCACAUCCAGCCGGAUAAAGGUGGACUGAUUGGAGUCCAUCUGCAGAUGUUCUUUAGUGUGAAAAAGCAAAAGGGGCCGGACAGUGUAUAUGGCACCUUUUUUUUUUUUUUUUUUUUACACUGUGUCAAAAAGGAGUUAAUGAAAUGACAUUUUAGUUGCCUGCACACACUGAUUACUGGAAGGAGACCCAAGAAACUAGAAAUAGUGGGUGCCUCCUGUAGGAACCUGGGGGCUGCAAGUCUUGGGGAGAGGGUAGAAGGGGAC